rnacentral:rRNA from 1 species
GAUGAACGCUGGCGGCGUGCCUAAUACAUGCAAGUCGAGCGAACAGACGAGGAGCUUGCUCCUCUGACGUUAGCGGCGGACGGGUGAGUAACACGUGGAUAACCUACCUAUAAGACUGGGAUAACUUCGGGAAACCGGAGCUAAUACCGGAUAAUAUAUUGAACCGCAUGGUUCAAUAGUGAAAGACGGUUUUGCUGUCACUUAUAGAUGGAUCCGCGCCGCAUUAGCUAGUUGGUAAGGUAACGGCUUACCAAGGCAACGAUGCGUAGCCGACCUGAGAGGGUGAUCGGCCACACUGGAACUGAGACACGGUCCAGACUCCGACGGGAGGCAGCAGUAGGGAAUCUUCCGCAAUGGGCGAAAGCCUGACGGAGCAACGCCGCGUGAGUGAUGAAGGUCUUCGGAUCGUAAAACUCUGUUAUUAGGGAAGAACAAAUGGGUAAGUAACUAUGCACGUCUUGACGGUACCUAAUCAGAAAGCCACGGCUAACUACGUG